UGGUUACCUGUGUGUUGCUGUGGCAGUGUGGAUAGCUGGCCGUUUCUAAUAUAACAGCCACUGUACACACUCCCGUAAUAACACACGGACUUACAACACGG
rnacentral:pre_miRNA from 1 species